AUUGAACGCUGGCGGCGUGCCUAACACAUGCAAGUCGAGCGGUAACAGGUGUAGCAAUACAUGCUGACGAGCGGCGAACGGGUGAGUAAUGCUUCGGAAUCUACCUUAUGGUGGGGAAUAACUAGCCGAAAGGUUAGCUAAUACCGCAUACGUCCUACGGGAGAAAGCAGGGGAUCGUAAGACCUUGCGCCAAAAGAUGAGCCGAAGUCGGAUUAGCUAGUUGGUAGGGUAACGGCCACCAAGGCGACGAUCCGUAGCUGGUCUGAGAGGACGACCAGCCACACUGGGACUGAGACACGGCCCAGACUCCUACGGGAGGCAGCAGUGGGGAAUCUUGCGCAAUGGGCGAAAGCCUGACGCAGCGACGCCGCGUGAGGGAUGACGGCCU
rnacentral:rRNA from 1 species